rnacentral:tRNA from 1 species
GGGCUGAUAAUAUAAUGGCUAUUAUGUUGGUUUUGCAUACCAAAAAUCAGAGUUCGAUUCUCUGUCAGUCCA